rnacentral:rRNA from 1 species
CAUACGUCCUACGGGAGAAAGCAGGGGACCUUCGGGCCUUGCGCUAUCAGAUGAGCCUAGGUCGGAUUAGCUAGUUGGUGAGGUAAUGGCUCACCAAGGCUACGAUCCGUAACUGGUCUGAGAGGAUGAUCAGUCACACUGGAACUGAGACACGGUCCAGACUCCUACGGGAGGCAGCAGUGGGGAAUAUUGGACAAUGGGCGAAAGCCUGAUCCAGCCAAGCCGCGUGUGUGAAGAAGGUCUUCGGAUUGUAAA